rnacentral:rRNA from 1 species
GACGAACGCUGGCGGCGUGCUUAACACAUGCCAGUCGUACGGUAAGGCCCUUUCGGGGGUACACGAGUGGCGAACGGGUGAGUAACACGUGAGUAACCUGCCCACAACUUUGGGAUAACGCUAGGAAACUGGUGCUAAUACUGGAUAUGUGCUCCUGCUGCAUGGUGGGGGUUGGAAAGCUCCGGCGGUUGUGGAUGGACUCGCGGCCUAUCAGCUUGUUGGUGGGGUAGUGGCCUACCAAGGCGGCGACGGGUAGCCGGCCUGAGAGGGUGACCGGCCACAUUGGGACUGAGAUACGGCCCAGACUCCUACGGGAGGCAGCAGUGGGGAAUAUUGCACAAUGGGCGCAAGCCUGAUGCAGCAACGCCGCGUGCGGGAUGACGGCCUUCGGGUUGUAAACCGCGUUCAGCAGGGACGAAGCUUUUUGUGACGGUACCUGCAGAAGAAGCACCGGCUAACUACGUG